rnacentral:rRNA from 1 species
GACGAACGCUGGCGGCGUGCUUAACACAUGCAAGUCGAACGGAGAGGCCCUGCUUUUGUGGGGUGCUCGAGUGGCGAACGGGUGAGUAACACGUGAGUAACCUGCCCUUGACUUUGGGAUAACUUCAGGAAACUGGGGCUAAUACCGGAUAGGAGCUCCUGCUGCAUGGUGGGGGUUGGAAAGUUUCGGCGGUUGGGGAUGGACUCGCGGCUUAUCAGCUUGUUGGUGGGGUAGUGGCUUACCAAGGCUUUGACGGGUAGCCGGCCUGAGAGGGUGACCGGCCACAUUGGGACUGAGGUACGGCCCAGAAUCCUACGGGAGGCAGCAGGGGGGAAUAUUGCACAAUGGGCGGAAGCCUGAUGCAGGAACGCCGCGGGCGGGAUGACGGCCUUCGGGUUGGAAACCGCUUUCGCCUGUGACGAAGCGUGAGUGACGGUAAUGGGUAAAGAAGCACCGGCUAACUACGUG